CGACGGACGUCAGGUCCCCGCUCUGCGGCUCCGAGAGCAGCUCGAAGCGGCGCCUUUUGAUGUUGAAGACUCCCAUGGUGCCAUCGCCACUGGCGGUCAGCAGGAUCUUCCCAGCCCCGUCCACGGCCAUGGCGCUGAUGUACUCCUCGUGCUGCCGGGCCUCCAGCACAGCGCCGCCCUUGCGCAGGUCCCACACUUUGAGCUCUCCGUUGUCGUCGCCCGUGGCCAGGAGGUGCUGAUCGACGGGCAGCACGCAGUUGAGGGCCGCGCCGUGGGCUUUGGCGAUGCGCGUCUCCAGGCGGCCGUCCUCCACCGCCAGCACGUGCACGGCUUUGUCUUUGGCCACGGUGAGCAGCCUCUGCCCGUCCCGGGAGAAGGCGACAUCGCGGCACGACUUGAGGUGGUGUCCCGAGGACCACAGCUGGCGGUUCUCCCCCUGCACGCAGCAGUACGAGUACAGGUACACGUCGCCGUCCACGUCCCCCGCCGCCAGCAGCUCUCGCGCCGGGUGCAGCGCGAUGGCGUUGGCCGCUGCCUCCAAGCAGAUGUCGUCGGGGGUGUCCCGGAGCUGCGGCUCCGCGGGCGGCUCCUCCUCGGACGCCGCCAUGCCGCCGCGGGC
rnacentral:lncRNA from 1 species